GGAGGAAAGUAGGGGAUCGAAAGACCUUGCGCUAAAGGAGCGGCUGAUGUCUGAUUAGCUAGUUGGUGGGGUAAAGGCUUACCAAGGCAACGAUCAGUAGCUGGUCUGAGAGGACGACCAGCCACACUGGGACUGAGACACGGCCCAGACUCCUACGGGAGGCAGCAGUGGGGAAUUUUGGACAAUGGGCGAAAGCCUGAUCCAGCCAUGCCGCGUGAGUGAAGAAGGCCUUCGGGUUGUAAAGCUCUUUUAGUCGGAAAGAAAGAGUCAUAGUAAAUAGCUAUGAUUUAUGACGGUACCGACAGAAAAAGCACCGGCUAACUACGUGCCAGCAGCCGCGGUAAUACGUAGGGUGCGAGCGUUAAUCGGAAUUACUGGGCGUAAAGGGUGCGCAGGCGGCCUUGUAAGUCAGAUGUGAAAGCCCCGGGCUUAACCUGGGAAUUGCGUUUGAAACUACAAAGCUAG
rnacentral:rRNA from 1 species